GAGUUUGAUCCUGGCUCAGGAUGAACGCUAGCGGCAGGCCUAACACAUGCAAGUCGAGGGGUAACAGGGAGAAGCUUGCUUUUCCGCUGACGACCGGCGCACGGGUGCGUAACGCGUAUACAAUCUGCCUUUAAGCGGGGAAUAGCCCAUGGAAACGUGGAUUAAUACCCCAUAGUAUGUAGAUCUCUCCUGAGAAUUACAUUAAACAUUUAUGGCUUAAAGAUGAGUAUGCGUCCUAUUAGUUAGUUGGUGAGGUAACGGCUUACCAAGACGGCGAUAGGUAGGGGUCCUGAGAGGGAGAUCCCCCACACUGGUACUGAGACACGGACCAGACUCCUACGGGAGGCAGCAGUGAGGAAUAUUGGACAAUGGAGGCAACUCUGAUCCAGCCAUGCCGCGUGCAGGAAGACGGCCCUAUGGGUUGUAAACUGCUUUUAUACGGGAAGAACCACAUCUACGUGUAGAUGCUUGACGGUACCGUAUGAAUAAGGACCGGCUAACUCCGUGCCAGCAGCCGCGGUAAUACGGAGGGUCCAAGCGUUAUCCGGAAUCAUUGGGUUUAAAGGGUCCGUAGGCGGAAUAAUAAGUCAGUGGUGAAAGUCUGCAGCUUAACUGUAGAAUUGCCAUUGAUACUGCUGUUCUUGAAUUAUUAUGAAGUGGUUGGAAUAAGUAGUGUAGCGGUGAAAUGCAUAGAUAUUACUUAGAACACCUAUUGCGAAGGCAGAUCACUAAUAAUAUAUUGACGCUGAGGGACGAAAGCGUAGGUAGCGAACAGGAUUAGAUACCCUGGUAGUCUACGCCGUAAACGAUGGUUACUAGCUGUCCGGCCUAAUUGAGGGCUGGGUGGUUAAGCGAAAGUGAUAAGUAACCCACCUGGGGAGUACGUUCGCAAGAAUGAAACUCAAAGGAAUGACGG
rnacentral:rRNA from 1 species